AAUAUUACCUGGCAGGGAAGAUACCGUGAUAACUAAGGUGGUUUUUCAGGGUGAGGCUUACUUAUAACAUUCAGGAUAUGCUAAUUCCUGCUAUUUCCCCAAAUGUAGGAAACUCGACUACAUAAUUUGUUGUAGUGGGAGACUGCUUUCCCACUCUUCCCUG